AACGAACGCUGGCGGCAGGCCUAACACAUGCAAGUCGAGCGCGCCUUCGGGUGAGCGGCGGACGGGUGAGUAACGCGUGGGAAUAUGCCCUUCUCUACGGAAUAGUCCUGGGAAACUGGGGGAAAUACCGUAUACGCCCUUUGGGGGAAAGAUUUAUCGGGGAAGGAUUAGCCCGCGUUGGAUUAGGUAGUUGGUGGGGUAAUGGCCUACCAAGCCGACGAUCCAUAGCUGGUUUGAGAGGAUGAUCAGCCACACUGGGACUGAGACACGGCACAGACUCCUACGGGAGGCAGCAGUGGGGAAUCUUAGACAAUGGGGGCAACCCUGAUCUAGCCAUGCCGCGUGAGUGAUGAAGGCCUUAGGGUUGUAAAGCUCUUUCAGCUGGGAAGAUAAUGACGGUACCAGCAGAAGAAGCCACGGCUAACUCCGUG
rnacentral:rRNA from 1 species